ensembl:lncRNA
GGACACAUUCGCAACUUUGAAAGCUCACAAUUUGAAGAUUCGUAUGUAGGGGACUCACUGUGUUUUAUGUACAAAUGUAAUACGUUGUUGGAGUAGGAAAUGGCAACCCACUCCAGUGUUUUUGCUUGGGAAAGCCUGUGGAUAGAGGAGCCCAGAGGGCUGCAGUCCAUGGGGUCACAGAGAGUCAGACAUGACUGAGCAUACACAGGCACACAGAUAAUACAUUAUAUCCUCAAGAACAUCAACAUGACUUUAUGAAAGUCAGAGUGUAAACUUCUGGUUUCCAAUCUUCCUGACUACUCAGCUUGCUCCUCUCUCUCUAUGCACCAACCCCCAACAUUUAGUUUCAAAGUGUUAGGUUUGCCUUUUGAACUGGUCUUGCUCCAAGUUCGUCUGAUGCUGGUGGUCUUUGCUGGAGUGAGAGCUCCUUGGGGAUGGUGGUGUCGGGGUUCCUCGGGGAUAGUGUGCUGGUCACCUCAGCCCCCUCCUUGGUGGAGUACCUCAGAGAAGGGCAGCUGUGUUUCUUUCCUCUGCAUCUUUCUUUCCUCUGCCCCCGAGCACCCUCUUCUGGUGGCGUGUCACCUCCUUUGGCUGCCCAGGCAGAGGAGCCCUGAGUGCUACAUCAGCAGACGUUUGUUCAUCUUCUUAAAAAGGAGACUCUGCCUUUCAAAACAUACCCCGAUAGGGGGGUCUCCUAGAGGCCUCCCCUGAGAUUCUCUUUUCCAUCUUUUAUUCAUGCCCUUCUCUGAGAUGCCACACCACUCACACCCCUUUGCCGCACACCUUCCCUGAAUUAUAAUUGUUUUUUCCUCUUCUGCUUGGACUGAGGGCUCUUUGAGGCUUGCCAUUGUCUCUUUCUUUCUUAAAUAUUUGGAAAACCUGAACGAACUCUUUUGACUGACCCAAUAUUUAUCAGCUGGUCCUUUUCAGAAGUUUACUGAAGCCUGUUUUAGACCGGUCAUGGUAACUUCAUUCUCUUCCCAAUGUUUAUGUUUGGGGUAGCAUGACACCCGGGCCAAUGAAAUAUAAGGAGAAGUUUGACAGAGGGCUUCUAGGAAAACAUUUUUUUUUCUCUGAAAAAAGUUGGUAUGGAGAAUGCUUCCUGACUUUGGAUGUUGUGUGUGAAAAUGUGAUAGGGAGAGCUGUGGCAGCCGUUUUGUGAUCAUGAAGAAAAGAAAAGACAAAUAUAGAUGUGGACCCAGAUGCUUUUGAGCUGUUACAUUAACCAACCCUAGAACUUCCUAUCUCUAGAAAUAUUUUUAUAUUCAAAGUAAAUGUACUGACAGCUGAACAUUCUAUUACUUGUAGCCAAAUGUGUACUAAAACAUAUAUGAAAAUAUGAUUUUUUUAUAUUAUGGCAUAGUAUUUCCUCUUAUUGAUAACCCAUUAACGUUUAACCAUUUAGGGGCAUUUCUCCUAAUUGUUUGCUAUAAUAAAUUAUCUUUCAUUUUUAACAUAUGUUUUACNNNNNNNNNNNNNNNNNNNNNNNNNNNNNNNNNNNNNNNNNNNNNNNNNNNNNNNNNNNNNNNNNNNNNNNNNNNNNNNNNNNNNNNNNNNNNNNNNNNUCUUUCAUUUUUAACAUAUAUUUUACCAAUUCAAACCUAAGGAUCUUAAAACAUGUACCUUAGCUGAUUUUAUUUUUGCUUGUACCAUUAAAAAACUGCCAAGGAAAAGAUAAAUUAAAAAACUGUCCCCCUUUAAAACAUUGCCCUAACAGUGCUUUCAAAGGACACAAAUUACCCUCCUUUACCACACUGAUAGAAAUCCAAACAUAUUAAUUUCAAAUACAGAUUCUAUCUAAUUCAAAACAAAUUUGAGGGUUUUCAAUAAAAGUUACAUCAGCAGCCAAAAAUAUUCAGUGGGAGUUAAAAUUGUGUGAUCAAAGCAGUUUCUUCUUUCUCAUUAACAAAAGGUACCCUUGAAUGAGAGAUAAUUUAUGUUUCUGAAUUAUUUGCAGCUCCAGUUAACACUUUGUUAAAACACACUCACAUGGUAUCGGGGCCCAAAGGCUUCAAGUGGUGAAAUUAUUUCUUCUUUUAGUAUCAUUAACCAGCACAUUGUGAAAUUCUGUUGAAACAGCAGAAGCUCCCUUUUCCAUGCAGCCACUCUGUCUGUCCCCUCACCUCUGACCUGCGUCAUACCUGCCCUCUCACCCCAGAGCCAGCUGCACUGAUGUUCCUGGAUUAUGCAAUCCCAAGUGCUGCACACAGAUGCCUGGAGCAAAGAGGUCAGUGCAUUGACUUCUUUGCUGUUUUGAACCUGGAUUUGAAAUAUCAUUGGGUUGACUAACCUCUACGGAAAGCAGUGAUGCAUGACUAUAACUUUCUUCUCAAGAGGCCAACAGGUCCCUGGGGAAUAACCCUUAGGAUGAAAACUCAUGAUUUAAUGGCAGUCAGGUGAUUUUUCAAUCCUCCUCUGAGCUCCUGUGAGAUGUUAAACCUUUUCAUAUCUACAUAUGUCUCUAUUCCUAAAGCAAAGAUAGCAUAUAGGGCCACCAGUGUAAGAGGUGAUUUUUAAUAAAAUAUUAUGAAGGGAGAUACGAUGGAACUCUUUCCAGGAGAAAGGGUUCCUGCAACCCUCUUGCUUUUCAGAGGAGGCCAUCUGGGAGGUAUUACUGUAGAGCAUAGCAGUUAACAAUAUGAACUCUGAGUCCCGGCUCUCCUCUUAGUAACUGUACAACAUCAGGUAAGUCACUUGACCCCUUUAGGCCUCAGUUUCUUCACCUGCAUCAUUUUCCCGGCCAUGGGGAUAGUAAGCAAGACAGCAAGUGGAGAAGAGAACAGGUGAGAGUUUGUGCAAAAAGGCAACUUUGUAGAUGAGGGGUUAAAAACUUGCACAGAAGUUUCCUGAUUGCUUCUUAGUUUACAGAAUUGAGGCUGAGGGUUGUGAAGAAGAGGUGAGGGAGAGAAGAAAUGUAAAAGCCUUGGGGAGAGUGAUGAGAGUUAAGGCGCUGAAGCAAGACAACACAAUGUCAGGAGACCCUGAUCAAGAGUAGUAGUACGCCACCCCACACCCCCACAUGCUGGAUUGCUACUGCACGCUCCCACAGCAGCGGGAUUCAAAGGAGGCCACGACGCUGUCACGUGAUAGCUGAGGUUUAGAAAGAUUAAAUGACUCACUAAAGGUCAUCGAGAUUUUAACGCAGGUGGCCUUGCUCCAAGUCCAGGGCUCUUUCUAAUCUGUAACAGGAGGUCUAAGUCUGCCUCUAGUUAGCUCCUUUGGGCCUCAUAUUUCUGGUUUGCAAAAGCCACCAGGCCAGGUGCCAUGGAAAGUGCCAAUCCUCUAGGACAUUAUACUGAAGGUUCUUCUUCUCACUGGUUAUGCUACAUGUCACUGGGCAAGUCGCUCAAAUGCCCUGGCUUGUUUCUGUAAUUAAAUUAAGCUUCAGAAGCUUGAGUUCUAAAGUGCUGAUUCUUCGAGAUGACGAUGGUUUUGUGCCACAUUAAGAAGAGCCCCCAUGUAUGUAUCAGGAGGUCUGACACCCUCACAGCACUUCCUCACCAUCCCCCACUCAGGUCUAUUCAGCUGGGCAUUCAUGUUUAAGCAUUAACACGAAUUCAGUCACUCAGUUGUGUCCAACUCGUUGUGAACCCAUGGACUGUAGCUCACCAGUCUCCUCUGUCCAUGGGAUUCUCCAGGC